ACCACAAUGAGAAGCGAGGGCUGUGUGUACCAGGAAUGCUAGCACACUACAGGCAGGAUCUGUGUGAUCGCCUGGAAGCACGGUACGGCCUUAGAGAAAGAGAUAGGUGGAAAGUGUUGGACUGAUUACGGACGGUAUCCUAGAGGAGGUGGAUGACCCUUUUCCCACCCUGGGCGUUUAGUUUACUAGUGUAAUGCCUUCCCUGUCCAGGGCUCACCUGGCUGGUUGUGAGCCGGUGUGUUUUUGCUCUGAGGCCUUGGGAGCAACUGGCUCUGUGGGAGGUUCCAUCAAGACACAAAGCAGAGACUGCCAAGGUGGGCUGGUGACCCCUGACCCCGCCCUCCUCAGCAGGCUUUACAGGGGGAGCAGGGGUGCGGGCUGGGAGCCUAACAAAUGAUCCCACCAUGCAUGUGUGUAUUAUUUGUGUUGCAUCAACGUAUUUCAGGUUUUAAUGUACUGUGUGUGUGUAGGACGGGGAGUGUUUGAGUGCAUUUGGCACAUGCAUAAUUUAUUAAAUGUGUUUUGGCCAGGGAGUUUGUAUGGGAUGUGGUUUAUAUACACAGUAAUAUUGAUGAAUGGGGCCGAGAGGAAAGGCCAUUUGUCUGUGUUUUGUAAGUCCUUCAUACGUGAUCCAUGAAGUCCUCAGGACUUAACAUUGGAGGGAAAGAAACUGUGGGAAAUAACAGAACAUCAAUGUGUCUAUUCUGUUUUUUGGAGCUUUAAUUCGUUGCAUACCAAAACAAUUCCAGUAAACAUGUAAUCGUGCCCUUGCUGUAAUUUUCAUUCAUUUCGACAUCAUUCUGUUGUUCAGCACCCAGGCUCUGGAACUCCCUCCCCCCACACAUAAAACAGUCAGACACCAUUACAACCUUCAAGUCACAACUCAAAACUCACCUGUUCAAACUCGCACACAACGUCUAACUGUUCACUGUUUUGAUUUUUUUUUUUUUUUUUUUUUUGUCUUGUUUUUGUUUUAUUUAUUUCUUAUUGCUUAUGUUUAUUUAUUUAUUUAUUUAUUUAUUUAUUUAUUUUUUCCACAAUGUCUUGUUUUUUAAAAAAUGUAUGAUGACUAUAUGCUCUGUAAGGUGAC
ensembl:lncRNA